UGGGAGUGCAGGAGCAGUGAGUUGGAGAGUGCUGAUUGGUUGGGUCGGAGGUGAAAUUACGGCGCGUCCCUGUCUUCCUGCGCUGAGUCAGUUCCUGGGUGUGAGUCACAAGAUCAGAUGGGCCGGUUUCUCGAUAUGGGUGGUGCCAGUUGAUCCAUCAAGAGUAGAGUCUGCAAAACAUCUCAGGCACUGAUCUUGGGAGCAGUUUAGGGAAGGUCAGAAUCUUGUGGCCUCCAACUACUUGACUCCUAAACCGUAAUUUCUAAUACUGUGGCUAACUUUAGUAGUCUAGUCUCCAGGCAAGAAGGGAGUUUGUUCUGGGAAAGGGCUGUUAUUGUCAUUUUUUAAAACUAUAAACUAAGUUCCUCCCAAAGUUUUUUCAGCCUGCGCCCAGAAAUGAACAAGGACAGCUUGGAGGUUAGAGGCAAGAUGGAGUCGUUUAAGUUGGACCUCUUUCACUGUCUCAGUCAUAAUUUUGCAAAGGCGGUUUCAGUUGCAGACAAAAGGAUCCGCAGGCUCCAGUGACUGUCUGCAUGGCGGGAGAAAACACAAGAGACUGCGUGGCAAACGUGAAUCCUCAGUUCUGCAAAACCGCGCAGGGGAGAGAAAAAGCCGCCCACGAAUUGAACUGUCUGCACCGCCUACGCGUGUCUUAGCCCUGAACCCAAAGCGCAUCCAGUUGGAAACCACAGUUCAGUGGUUAAAGACAUCAGGCUGCCCCUUCCGAGGAGACGCCACUUCGUGAUUCCUUGCCUCCAUCCCAGGUGCCCACCUCAAAAAAGUAGCGCGAAGCAGAUUAGCUGAAAAGAGAUGACGGGUGGUAGCCGUAGCUCGCCGGCGAUCCGGUGAGCGCGCCCCGGACCCACCCCGCCCCCACAGCCCCGACUUCGACGCACGCGCAGCUCCGUCUCAGCUCGCUAGCCGACCCGCCCCUCCCACUUCUCCCCUGUACACGCAGCUGUUUUCUUCUGACAGAUCCCAUCAAGAACUUUCAGUCCUCUAGGCCUCGCACGUGCUGUCCCAUCAAUACCUGAAAUGUCACCUUCCUUUCAACUCCUUUCCCCUCGUUACCUCCAAGCACCUAUAGAGAAGGAAAAAUAAUCUUCCUUCUACCAGUUUGAGUUCUCAGCUGGGACUCCUGUAACAACAGACAGAAUGAAGAGAAAAACAAGUGUAUUAACAUGUGCAUUUCAUAUAUACAUGGGACAUACCCAGGGAAUGAGUAAUUCUAAAGGUGUGGCUGAGAACUCCAUUUUAUACAGCAUCGUCAACAAAGAACAAUACGUUUUUGGAGAAGUGACAACACAAAGGAAAAGGACCUUAAAGGCUGGGCGCGGUGGCUCACGCCUGUAAUCCCAGUACUUUGCGAGGCCGAGGUGGGCGGAUCACCUGAGGUCAGGAGUUCGAGACCAGCCUGACCAACAUGUGGUGAAACCUCGUCUCUACUAAAAAUACAAAAAUUAGCCGGGCGUGGUGGCGCGCGCCUGUAAUCCCAGCUACUCAGGAGGCUGAGGCAGGAGAAUCGCUUGAACUCGGAGGCAGAGGUUGCAGUGAGCCGAGAUCGCGCCACUGCACUCCAGCCUGCGCGACAGAGCGAGACUCUGUCCCAAAAAAAACAAAAAAAAAGAAAGCAAAAAGAAAGGACCUCGGGUCUCCAGGGACAGCAAAUUGUGGGAAAGCAAAUAUAUGGGAAAUUAAUGUUAGAUAAAGGCAGGUUCCUAAAGCUUGUUAAAUGUACUUCUGUGGUCCCCUCUGUUCACGUCUCCAAGCUGUUAAGGACCUAAAGUUGUCUUAGGUUAUCAACCUUUGUCCUUCCUGGUAGAGAAAGGAGGAGGAACGACUUUGUAAAUGUAUAUCCUGCUUUUAGGCAGAUAGGGGGAGGCUAUGGAGCUUUAUUUUAAUCAGCUUCUUCCCAAUUGCCUUUAGCGCAAAAUAAUCCUUAGGCCGGAGUGGCAUAUUUUCGGGUGGUAUAUACUUCUACCCUUUACACCUUUGAGAAUGCAGCUUGGCCAAAGCAGUAGUUCACGCCUGUAAUUCCAGCGCUUUGGAGGCCGAGGCGGGCCAAUCACUUGAGGUCAGGAGUUUGAGACUAGCCUGGCCAACAUGGUGAAACCUGGUCUCUACCAAAAAAUACAAAAAUAGCCAAGUGCGGUGGCGCACACCCGUAGUCCCAGCUACUCGGGAGGCUGAGGCAGGAGAAUCGCUGGAACCCAGGAAACAGAGGUUGCAGUGAGCCGAGAUGGCUUUUAAUCAAUGCUUUAAUAGAGAAAUAUGCAAGACCUUUGGUAACCCAGAGAAAUCACUAGAAGGAAGGCAGAGUAGCACCUGGCAGGGGGUAAGGCAUUAGAACUGUGCCUUGAAAGGUGAGUAGGAGUGUGCAGGCAUGCAGGAAAUGUGAUUCAGCCAGAAAUACCGUGUCUUCUUCUCUGAGCUUGAAUUCCAAAUGCUUCUCACCAGGAUUCCCCCUCUCCUCUUCAGGCUGAAAACAGACAGGGCUUGCCUUUUUAGGGCAAAGGCUAGGCCCAACAUUUCCUAGGAAUAUGCCUCCCACUUUUGGUCCCAAGGUGGUUGGCUUUUGCUCAGAACAAUAGUAACAAUCUCAUUCUUCACUCUUACCUGUGUGUAUAAGUAACACUUUAAAGCAUGCUGUCAGGUUCUCCAAAGAAACAGAACCAGUAGGACAGAGACAGAUAGAAACAGAGGUAGAGAAA
rnacentral:lncRNA from 10 species